rnacentral:rRNA from 1 species
AUUGAACACUGGCGGCAGGCCUAACACAUGCAAGUCGAGCGGUAACACAGGGAGCUUGCUCCCGGGUGACGAGCGGCGGACGGGUGAGUAAUGUCUGGGAAACUGCCUGAUGGAGGGGGAUAACUACUGGAAACGGUAGCUAAUACCGCAUAAUGUCGCAAGACCAAAGAGGGGGACCUUCGGGCCUCUUGCCAUCAGAUGUGCCCAGAUGGGAUUAGCUAGUAGGUGGGGUAACGGCUCACCUAGGCGACGAUCCCUAGCUGGUCUGAGAGGAUGACCAGCCACACUGGAACUGAGACACGGUCCAGACUCCUACGGGAGGCAGCAGUGGGGAAUAUUGCACAAUGGGCGCAAGCCUGAUGCAGCCAUGCCGCGUGUAUGAAGAAGGCCUUCGGGUUGUAAAGUACUUUCAGCGGGGAGGAAGGCGAUAAGGCUAAUAACCUUGUCGAUUGACGUUACCCGCAGAAGAAGCACCGGCUAACUCCGUGCCAGCAGCCGCCGUAA